UCCUUGUCCAGAGUUGACUGACGUAGACGACGGAUUUUGUAAUACUAUCUACUUUGGGUCCGUAUAAGGAGCAUUACCUUUAACGGAAGAUGAAAUAAUUUACAGCGAAGAGACUGAAAAAGUUGGUGCCAUAGUAAAACUGGGUAUUCUAAGUUUUUUUACCCACUCAAUAAUUUUUGCUGGAACCACAACGGGAAAGAUUGGUAAA
rnacentral:lncRNA from 1 species